CGUAGGUGCAAGCGUUGUCCGGAAUUAUUGGCGUAAAGAGCUCGUAGGCGGUUUGUCGCGUCUGCUGUGAAACGCGAGGCUCAACCUCGCGCCUGCAGUGGGUACGGGCAGACUAGAGUGCGGUAGGGAGAUUGGAAUUCCUGGUGUAGCGGUGGAAUGCGCAGAUAUUAGGAGGAACACCGAUGGCGAAGGCAGGUCUCUGGGCCACUACUGAACGCUGAGAAGCGAAAGCGUGGGAGCGAACAGGAUU
rnacentral:rRNA from 1 species